GUGAGGGGGGGAGGUUGAGGGGGAGGGGGGGACAUAAAGAAGCACACUGAACCAGGAAGGAGCUGCAUUUGAUCUGGGCUCCUUCACCCACUGAGACACACUGUCAGACCAUGUGAGAACUUACUUUAAUUGUACUGUCUUCAUUUACCAGGACUUCAGUAAAUUGUUUGCACAGAUUAAUCGAAGGUAAUUCUGUCCCUACUCGCCUGUAUACAGACAAUGCCUUGCUUUAUUUAAUGUACAUAUGUGUAGGGGAGGAGGGGGGGAGUACAUGUAUGUUCUUAAUGAGUUUUCCAUGUCAUACACAUAGCACAUUUAUGAGUUAUGGACUUGAGGUUUCAGCAAGCUGUGAAUAAUGUCCCAUCCACUGUGAAGAUGGGCUCUGGUGAGGAGCGUGGAAGUGAUGCUGCAGAACGGGGGGUGUUCCAAAUAAGAUGGCUCUGUUCGCAUACGACCUUUUCUAAUAAUGUAGGAGACAAUCGUGUCAGUUAAGUAUAUAUGCAAGUUGUACAAAUUGUGAAUAACAAACUAUUUUUGCUGUUGUUGAA